AAAUUGAAGAGUUUGAUCAUGGCUCAGAUUGAACGCUGGCGGCAGGCCUAACACAUGCAAGUCGAGCGGAAACGAGUUAACUGAACCUUCGGGGAACGUUAACGGCGUCGAGCGGCGGACGGGUGAGUAAUGCCUAGGAAAUUGCCCUGAUGUGGGGGAUAACCAUUGGAAACGAUGGCUAAUACCGCAUAAUGCCUUCGGGCCAAAGAGGGGGACCUUCGGGCCUCUCGCGCGUCAGGAUAUGCCUAGGUGGGAUUAGCUAGUUGGUGAGGUAAGGGCUCACCAAGGCGACGAUCCCUAGCUGGUCUGAGAGGAUGAUCAGCCACACUGGAACUGAGACACGGUCCAGACUCCUACGGGAGGCAGCAGUGGGGAAUAUUGCACAAUGGGCGCAAGCCUGAUGCAGCCAUGCCGCGUGUAUGAAGAAGGCCUUCGGGUUGUAAAGUACUUUCAGCAGUGAGGAAGGUGGUGUAGUUAAUAACUGCAUCAUUUGACGUUAGCUGCAGAAGAAGCACCGGCUAACUCCGUGCCAGCAGCCGCGGUAAUACGGAGGGUGCGAGCGUUAAUCGGAAUUACUGGGCGUAAAGCGCAUGCAGGUGGUUUGUUAAGUCAGAUGUGAAAGCCCGGGGCUCAACCUCGGAAUUGCAUUUGAAACUGGCAGACUAGAGUACUGUAGAGGGGGGUAGAAUUUCAGGUGUAGCGGUGAAAUGCGUAGAGAUCUGAAGGAAUACCGGUGGCGAAGGCGGCCCCCUGGACAGAUACUGACACUCAGAUGCGAAAGCGUGGGGAGCAAACAGGAUUAGAUACCCUGGUAGUCCACGCCGUAAACGAUGUCUACUUGGAGGUUGUGGCCUUGAGCCGUGGCUUUCGGAGCUAACGCGUUAAGUAGACCGCCUGGGGAGUACGGUCGCAAGAUUAAAACUCAAAUGAAUUGACGGGGGCCCGCACAAGCGGUGGAGCAUGUGGUUUAAUUCGAUGCAACGCGAAGAACCUUACCUACUCUUGACAUCCAGAGAAGCCAGUAGAGAUACAGGUGUGCCUUCGGGAACUCUGAGACAGGUGCUGCAUGGCUGUCGUCAGCUCGUGUUGUGAAAUGUUGGGUUAAGUCCCGCAACGAGCGCAACCCUUAUCCUUGUUUGCCAGCGAGUAAUGUCGGGAACUCCAGGGAGACUGCCGGUGAUAAACCGGAGGAAGGUGGGGACGACGUCAAGUCAUCAUGGCCCUUACGAGUAGGGCUACACACGUGCUACAAUGGCGCAUACAGAGGGCAGCAAGCUAGCGAUAGUGAGCGAAUCCCAAAAAGUGCGUCGUAGUCCGGAUUGGAGUCUGCAACUCGACUCCAUGAAGUCGGAAUCGCUAGUAAUCGUGGAUCAGAAUGCCACGGUGAAUACGUUCCCGGGCCUUGUACACACCGCCCGUCACACCAUGGGAGUGGGCUGCAAAAGAAGUAGGUAGUUUAACCUUCGGGAGAACGCUUACCACUUUGUGGUUCAUGACUGGGGUGAAGUCGUAACAAGGUAGCCCUAGGGGAACCUGGGGCUGGAUCACCUCCUUAUACGAUGAU
rnacentral:rRNA from 1 species